GCGUGCUUAAACAUGCAAGUCGAGCGGAUUUCGGCAGUGUAUCGCCGGAGUUAGCGGCAGACGGGUGAGUAAUACUUGGGCAAUCUGCCCUUGAGUGGGAAACAACCGGCCGAAAGGCUGGCUAAUGUCCCAUAAGACCACGGGAAUGCAUAUUCCAGAGGUCAAAGCUCCGCAAGGGGCGCUUGAGGAGGAGCCCGAGUCCUAUCAUGGUAGUUGGUGAGGUAACGGCUCACCAAGCCUUUGACGGGUAGCCGGCCUGAAAGGGUGAUCGGCCACACUGGCACUGAGACACGGGCCAGACUCCUACGGGAGGCAGCAGUGGGGAAUUUUGGACAAUGGGGGCAACCCUGAUCCAGCGACGCCGCGUGAAGGAUGAAGGUCUUCGGAUUGUAAACUUCUUUUGGAGGGGAUGAAUGCCUGCGUGAAUAACGCAGGGUGACAGUACUCUCUGAAUAAGCCACGGCUAACUACGUGCCAGCAGCCGCGGUAAUACGU
rnacentral:rRNA from 1 species